rnacentral:rRNA from 1 species
UACGAAGGGGGGCUAGCGUUGUUCGGAAUUACUGGGCGUAAAGCGCGCGCAGGCGGCUAUCCAAGUCAGUGGUGAAAGCCCGGAGCUCAACUCCGGAACUGCCAUUGAAACUGUUUAGCUUGAGGAUGAGAGAGGUGAGUGGAAUUCCCAGUGUAGAGGUGAAAUUCGUAGAUAUUGGGAAGAACACCGGUGGCGAAGGCGGCUCACUGGCUCAUACUGACGCUCAGGCGCGAUAGCGUGGGGAUCAAACAGG